UACGGAGGGUGCAAGCGUUAUCCGGAUUCACUGGGUUUAAAGGGUGCGUAGGCGGAUAGGUAAGUCCGUGGUGAAAUCCUGCAGCUUAACUGCAGAACUGUCGUGGAUACUAUCUAUCUUGAAUGUCGUGGAGGUUAGCAGAAUAUGUCAUGUAGCGGUGAAAUGCUUAGAUAUGACAUAGAAUACCCAUUGCGAAGGCAGCUAACUACGCGAUAAUUGACGCUGAUGCACGAAAGCGUGGGGAUCAAACAGG
rnacentral:rRNA from 1 species